UACGAAGGGGGCUAGCGUUGCUCGGAAUCACUGGGCGUAAAGGGCGCGUAGGCGGCCAUUCAAGUCGGGGGUGAAAGCCUGUGGCUCAACCACAGAAUUGCCUUCGAUACUGUUUGGCUUGAGUCUGGUAGAGGUUGGUGGAACUGCGAGUGUAGAGGUGAAAUUCGUAGAUAUUCGCAAGAACACCGGUGGCGAAGGCGGCCAACUGGACCAACACUGACGCUGAGGCGCGAAAGCGUGGGGGAGCAAACAGG
rnacentral:rRNA from 1 species